CGUUCUAUGGCCGAAUUGGUAAAGGCAUCGCCGAUCACAGGCAAGGUUGCGGGUUCGAUUCCCGCUAAAACGA
rfam:Operophtera brumata OBRT01_Sc10912, whole genome shotgun sequence.